GACGAACGCUGGCGGCGUGCUUAACACAUGCAAGUCGAACGGUAAGGCCCUUCGGGGGACACGAGUGGCGAACGGGUGAGUAACACGUGGGUGAUCUGCCCUGCACUUCGGGAUAAGCCUGGGAAACUGGGUCUAAUACCGGAUAGGACCCUGGGAUGCAUGUCCUGGGGUGGAAAGCUUUUGCGGUGUGGGAUGGGCCCGCGGCCUAUCAGCUUGUUGGGGGGGUGAUGGCCUACCAAGGCGACGACGGGUAGCCGGCCUGAGAGGGUGACCGGCCACACUGGGACUGAGAUACGGCCCAGACUCCUACGGGAGGCAGCAGUGGGGAAUAUUGCACAGUGGGCGCAAGCCUGAUGCAGCGACGCCGCGUGAGGGAUGACGGCCUUCGGGUUGUAAACCUCUUUCAGUAGGGACGAAGCGCAAGUGACGGUACCUACAGAAGAAGGACCGGCCAACUACGUGCCAGCAGCCGCCGUAA
rnacentral:rRNA from 1 species